CUGCCAAGCAUGGGGACGGGGUUGAGAUGAAAUGUCACCAACUCUGUCACUGCUGGACAAAGGUCCGUCUUUCUGACCACCCUGAAGGUGGUUUCCCUAGUCUUUGGCUUCUAACUCUGUAGAAAUGAGAGCUAGGGCCUGGGCUGUGAUUCUGGACAACAAGGUACUAUCCUUAUGGGUUCUGAUCACACAUGGAGUGGGACUCAUGGUGGGGCUGGUGGAGGACUUCUGAUUUCAUGUUACAGUAGUCUUCCAUCACCUUUGGCCUCCUGGGGUGGCAUUCUGGGGGUGCUGGGUGCCUGGGAGGAAGAUGUGAGGUAGAUUGGUGGGUGUGCAGGGGGAGGGGGGCGUGGCGACAGUUCUCCAGGAGGCUUGCUUCUGGAAGGGAGGGUUGGAGAUGGUUCAACAUCAGAUGAAACAUAUGAAAUAGAAAUGAAGCAACUACACUUUAACCCAUGGUACAAAAAUAUAUCCAGAGCGAAUCUGUUUCACAUAUCACUUCUGAGAUCUCCCUUAGUUCACAGGUUAUUGGUCAACAGAUAAAACGAGAAGAUGCAGCUGCACAAAGCCAACCCCUGGCUGCUUAGCGGAGCAAAGAUUCGGAAGUUCCCAUGUCACGUGGCAGGAAGCGGAAGUUCCCAUGUCACGUGGCAGGAAGCAGAAGUUCGCAUGCUACGUGGCAGGAAGCUGCUGCUCUUGGCUUUAUUUGGGGUUGAAGCUGCCUUCCUGGGAACAGCACCUUGGGCUGGGCUUGUGGUGCCAUCUUUUGCCAUUGGAUUUUCAACUCUACUCAUGAGUCUCUUCUGA
rnacentral:lncRNA from 1 species